CCGGCUACGCCCUGGGCGUUGGCUGAUCUCCCGGCUCUGGUGUGGUUCCUUUGCCGCCGACACUCUUCAUCCCUCUCGGCCCCGAGCUCCCCAGGCUGGCCCUGAGCAGCUCUAUCGGACCUGCUACCCCGUGACGAGCAGCAACUGGUGCCCCGUGUGAGGACUCACGAAGUCGCUGACGGGCUAAUCGGACUGCAGGAUGCAAAUCAGCAGGAAGCUGGAGUUAGAAGCAGAGACGGAGCUCAAACCAAGCUCUCUGCUAUGGCCUGGGAAAGCAGUAGAAGAUGGCCCAAGUCCUUGGGCACCUGCACCCAUGUGGGAGAUCUGGAAGAAGAUUCUGGCUCCUGGCUUCAGAUCAGCACAGCUCCAGCUAUUGUGGCCAAUUGGGGAGUAAACCAGUGGAUAGAGCACCCCCCUUUCUCUCUGCCUCUCCUCCUCUCUCUGUGUAACUCUGAUUUUCAAAUAAAUAAAUAAAUCUUAAAAAGAAGCAAA